rnacentral:pre_miRNA from 1 species
AGUGGGAUAGCUGGGUCAAAUGGGGUUCCAUUCCAAGUUUUCUGAGGAAUAUCCAUACUGCUUUUCAUAGUGGUUGCACCAAUUUGCAAUCUCAUCAGCAAU